CUCUGGGAGUCAUGAUUGUGAUCGUCAGGGUCUUGCAAUGUCUUAUGGGACUUGUAGUUUCACCACAGCUGGAGGUCCGAGGUUGCCCGCCCCUGCGUUAGAACCUCUGCCAGGUGCCCUCUCCAUCUGGGUGAUUUCCUGGCAACGAAACAGGAAGUGAGUUGGUAUCUCACCAUCGGGACCUGACAGUAGUUCUACCUCCUCAUCCUCCGUCUCAAACUACCUGGACAGGAGGUCAUGCCCUGUGAUCCUCCCAUUCGCAUUCCCGUUAUUCAGGGGGGGGGGGGGUUUGCUCAUUGUGUGCUGCAGCGGGUGUCAGGAGUAAUGGGGGGGCUUUAUUAAACUGCAUUGUCUGUCAUGGCUAGUUUCUUGCUUCUCCUCUGCAUUAGUGUGGUCGCCGCCUGUAGAGUGGAAAACCUUUUUUUGUUAGAGGGCUGCCAACCAAGGACGGGUCACGGCGGGGUGCACCACCCACAAGUAGGGCCCCACCCUGGACAGGUCACGGCGGGGUGCACCACCCACAAGUAGGGCCCCACCCUGGACAGGUCACGGCGGGGUGCACCACCCACAAGUAGGGCCCCACCCUGGACAGGUCACGGCGGGGUGCACCACCCACAAGUAGGGCCCCACCCUGGACAGGUCACCGCAGGGUGCACCACCCACAAGUAGGGCCCCACCCUGGACAGGUCACGGCGGGGUGCACCACCCACAAGUAGGGCCCCACCCUGGACAGGUCACGGCGGGGUGCACCACCCGCAAGUAGGGCCCCACCCUGGACAGGUCACGGCGGGGUGCACCACCCACAAGUAGGGCCCCACCCUGGACAGGUCACGGCGGGGUGCACCACCCACAAGUAGGGCCCCACCCUGGACAGGUCACCGCAGGGUGCACCACCCACAAGUAGGGCCCCACCCUGGACAGGUCACGGCGGGGUGCACCACCCACAAGUAGGGCCCCACCCUGGACAGGUCACGGCGGGGUGCACCACCCGCAAGUAGGGCCCCACCCUGGACAGGUCACGGCGGGGUGCACCACCCACAAGUAGGGCCCCACCCUGGACAGUUUGCUUUGAAAUAUUACAGUGCAUGCAAGGUGGAAGAAAAAUCAUUAAAACAUAUAUGCCUUACAUUUCCAGCUGUUCUGUUUUUUUUUUU